ACAAUAAAAGCUUUGUCAGGUCCAACGUUAGCAUCGGCUAACAAGAAAAGCUUUGUCAGGUCCAACGUUAGCAUUGGCUAACAAUAAAAGCUUUAUCGCCAGGUCCAACGUUAGCAUCGGCUAACAAUAAAAGCUUUGUCGCCAGGUCAAAAAUUAGCAUCGGCUAACAAUUAAAGCUUUGUCAGGUCCAACAUUAGCAUCGGCUAACAAUAAAAGCUUUGUCGCCAGGUUCAAUGUUAGCAUCGGCUAACAAUAAAAGCUUUGUCGCCAGGUC